rnacentral:rRNA from 1 species
GGGGGUAGAAUUCCAGGUGUAGCGGUGAAAUGCGUAGAGAUCUGGAGGAAUACCGGUGGCGAAGGCGGCCCCCUGGACAAAGACUGACGCUCAGGUGCGAAAGCGUGGGGAGCAAACAGGAUUAGAUACCCUGGUAGUCCACGCCGUAAACGAUGUCGAUUUGGAGGUUGUGCCCUUGAGGCGUGGCUUCCGGAGCUAACGCGUUAAAUCGACCGCCUGGGGAGUACGGCCGCAAGGUUAAAACUCAAAUGAAUUGACGGGGGCCCGCACAAGCGGUGGAGCAUGUGGUUUUAAUUCGAUGCAACGCGAAGAACCUUACCUGGUCUUGACAUCCACAGAACUU